rnacentral:tRNA from 1 species
UGUUUGAUGGCCGAGCAACAGGCAGUAGACUGUAGAUCUAUUAACGAAGUUAAUUCUUCUCAACA